rnacentral:rRNA from 1 species
CCUACGGGAGGCUGCAGUGAGGAAUAUUGGUCAAUGGGCGCGAGCCUGAACCAGCCAAGUAGCGUGAAGGAUGACUGCCCUACGGGUUGUAAACUUCUUUUAUAAAGGAAUAAAGUGAGGCACGUGUGCCUUUUUGUAUGUACUUUAUGAAUAAGGAUCGGCUAACUCCGUGCCAGCAGCCGCGGUAAUACGGAGGGUCCGGGCGUUAUCCGGAUUUAUUGGGUGUAAAGGGAGCGUAGAUGGGUUGUUAAGUCAGUUGUGAAAGGUUGCGGCUCAACCGUAAAAUUGCAAUUGAUACUGGCAGGCUUGAGUGCAGGAGAGGUAGGCGGAAUUCGUAGUGUAGCGGUGAAAUGCUUAGAUAUCACGAAGAACUCCGAUGGCGAAGGCAGCUUACUAAACUGCCACUGACAUUGAUGCUCGAAAGUGUGGGUAUCAAACAGGAUUAGAUACCCGAGUAGUC